rnacentral:rRNA from 1 species
AACAAGAGGGGGACCUUUCCGGCCUCUUGCCAUCAGAUGUGCCCAGAUGGGAUUAGCUAGUAGGUGGGGUAAUGGCUCACCUAGGCGACGAUCCCUAGCUGGUCUGAGAGGAUGACCAGCCACACUGGAACUGAGACACGGUCCAGACUCCUACGGGAGGCAGCAGUGGGGAAUAUUGCACAAUGGGCGCAAGCCUGAUGCAGCCAUGCCGCGUGUAUGAAGAAGGCCUUCGGGUUGUAAAGUACUUUCAGCGGGGAGGAAGGCUAUAAGGUUAAUAGCAUUGUUCAUUGACGUUACCCGCAUAAGAAGCACCGGCUAACUCCGUGCCAGCAGCCGCGGUAAUACGGAGGGUGCAAGCGUUAAUCGGAAUUACUGGGCGUAAAGCGCACGCAGGCGGUUUGUUAAGUCAAAUGUGAAAUCCCCCGGGCUCAACCUGGGAACUGCAUUUGAAACUGGUAAGGCUGGAAUCUUGUAGAGGGGUAUACAAUUUCCAGGGUGUAGCGG